rnacentral:misc_RNA from 1 species
GAUGAAGAACGCAGCGAAAUGCGAUAAGUAAUGUGAAUUGCAGAAUUCAGUGAAUCAUCGAGUCUUUGAACGCACAUUGCGCCCCUGGUAUUCCGGGGGGCAUGCCUGUCCGAGCGUCAUUGCUGCCCUCAAGCACGGCUUGUGUGUUGGGCCGCCGUCCCCGGUUUCCCCCGGGGACGGGCCCGAAAGGCAGCGGCGGCACCGCGUCCGAUCCUCGAGCGUAUGGGGCUUUGUCACCCGCUCUGUAGGCCCGGCCGGCGCCAGCCGACACCCAACUUUAUUUCUAAGGUUGACCUCGGAUCAGGUAGGGAUACCCGCUGAACUUAAGCAUAUCAAUAAGCGGAGGA